rnacentral:rRNA from 1 species
CCCCUAGAUGUUCUGGGCCGCACGCGCGCUACACUGAACAGUUCAACAAGUCUUAACCUUGGCCGAUAGGUCUGGGUAAUCUUUGAACGCUGUUCGUGAUUGGGAUAGACCUUUGCAAUUAUGGGUCUUCAACGAGGAAUUCCUAGUAAACGCAAGUCAUCAGCUUGCAUUGAUUACGUCCCUGCCCUUUGUACACACCGCCCGUCGCACCUACCGAUUGAAUGGUCCGGUGAAAUCUCCGGACUGGCGUGAGUCGGAGCAAUCUGACAAACACCGGAAAGUUGAUUAAACCUUACCAUUUAGAGGAAGGUGAANUCGUANCA